UCUACUUGUAAACUUGAUUACAAAAUUAAAAUUGAAAACUUGAAUAAAAUCCCACUAUAGUUUAUUUGAGUUUCAUUAUCAGUCAGUGAAUGGCUGACAAAAUCCCAAAUUAGAGGUCAUCGCUAUUGUCCUUGCCUUUUAUUUAAGAGUACUCCAGCCACCCAUAGAUUUCCAAGCUCCAUGUAUGCACUAUGGGAUGGAUAAAUGGAUGGAACGAUGGACAGAUGGACUGUCACAGAGAGGGAGCGAGAGAGGGAUGGAUGGACAAAUUGAAGAGAAACGUCUGUCUUAUUGCUUUAAUUAUUUGAUCAAGCUGAACUUUGAAUAUACCUGACAUUCCUAAAACUCUAUCUACUACUUCUUGUUUACC